rnacentral:rRNA from 1 species
GACGAACGCUGGCGGCGUGCUUAACACAUGCAAGUCGAACGGAAAGGCCCUGCUUUUGUGGGGUGCUCGAGUGGCGAACGGGUGAGUAACACGUGAGUAACCUGCCCUUGACUUUGGGAUAACUUCAGGUAACUGGGGCUAAUACCGGAUAGGAGCUCCUGCUGCAUGGUGGGGGUUGGAAAGUUUCGGCGGUUGGGGAUGGACUCGCGGCUUAUCAGCUUGUUGGUGGGGUAGUGGCUUACCAAGGCUUUGACGGGUAGCCGGCCUGAGAGGGUGACCGGCCACAUUGGGACUGAGAUACGGCCCAGACUCCUACGGGAGGCAGCAGUGGGGAAUAUUGCACAAUGGGCGGAAGCCUGAUGCAGCAACGCCGCGUGCGGGAUGACGGCCUUCGGGUUGUAAACCGCUUUCGCCUGUGACGAAGCGUGAGUGACGGUAAUGGGUAAAGAAGCACCGGCUAACUACGUGCCAGCAGCCGCGGUGAUACGUAGGGUGCGAGCGUUGUCCGGAUUUAUUGGGCGUAAAGGGCUCGUAGGUGGUUGAUCGCGUCGGAAGUGUAAUCUUGGGGCUUAACUCUGAGCGUGCUUUCGAUACGGGUUGACUUGAGGAAGGUAGGGGAGAAUGGAAUUCCUGGUGGAGCGGUGGAAUGCGCAGAUAUCAGGAGGAACACCAGUGGCGAAGGCGGUUCUCUGGGCCUUUCCUGACGCUGAGGAGCGAAAGCGUGGGGAGCGAACAGGCUUAGAUACCCUGGUAGUCCACGCUGUAAACGGUGGGUACUAGGUGUGGGGUCCAUUCCACGGGUUCCGUGCCGUAGCUAACGCUUUAAGUACCCCGCCUGGGGAGUACGGCCGCGAGGCUAAAACUCAAAGGAAUUGACGGGGCCCCGCACAAGCGGCGGAGCAUGCGGAUUAAUUCGAUGCAACGCGUAGAACCUUACCUGGGUUUGACAUGGAUCGGGAGUGCUCAGAGAUGGGUGUGCCUCUUUUGGGGUCGGUUCACAGGUGGUGCAUGCCUGUCGUCAGCUCGUGUCGUGAGAUGUUGGGUUAAGUCCCGCAACGAGCGCAACCCUUGUUCACUGUUGCCAGCACGUUAUGGUGGGGACUCAGUGGAGACCGCCGGGGUCAACUCGGAGGAAGGUGGGGAUGACGUCAAGUCCUCAUGCCCCUUAUGUCCAGGGCUUCACGCAUGCUACAAUGGCUGGUACAGAGAGUGGCGAGCCUGUGAGGGUGAGCGAAUCUCGGAAAGCCGGUCUCAGUCCGGAUUGGGGUCUGCAACUCGACCUCAUGAAGUCGGAGUCGCUAGUAAUCGCAGAUCAGCAACGCUGCGGUGAAUACGUUCCCGGGGCU